GUCAUUCCAGACGUUACAGUGAUUUGGUUGUAACAGUUGCUGAGGCUUUUUUAUAUAUAUACUAGAGGCCCAGUGCACAAAAUUCGUGCACAGAGAGGGGAUUGUCCCUCAAC